UCCAUCCAGAGUGGGGGGCGGGAAGACUUGGAAAUCUCUGCCGCUUGCUGGUAGCUUGGUUGCCACCCACCGGAGAGGGAGCCAGCCGGUGCCCGGAGCCGGAGAUGAUCCGUGGCUCAGCCUGCUUGAAGCGGGCGGCCGGACGGCCGGCAGCCAGCGCUCCGUCUCGUCUCGUCCCGCACGCCUGAAGGACGAAUGACUGCUUAGUGGAUGAACUCAUCCCGCUAAAAGCUCUCUGGAGAGGGACGGGAGACCCCCCCUGAGCACCCUCCCUCCCUCUGCACUUUCUCCAUGGCGUCUCCGCAACAGUCCAGGAUUCAGUCCUAUCUGGAGCGCAACAAAAUUGGAGCCUUAUUUGAGGAGUUGAUGACGGAACUGAUAAGCGAGACCCCCGAUCGUCCCAUCCCUUUCCUCAUCGACCACCUCCAGAGCAAACAGGACAGCCCGGGAAAAAUGCACCGGGCCUUGUCCGGAUCGGCGGCGCUGUGGGCCCAGAGCUCCCCGGAAAGCAAAAACACUCGAAGAGAGCUGCGCCACAAUGACAAGUCGUGGCAAAUUCAGUCCAGGAAACCUAAGAAAUCCAAAAGUGACCUGGCCGUCUCCAGCUUGUCGCCUCCCUCGCCGGAGUCCACGCCGCUGCCUCAAUGUCCAUCGUGGGACUGGCGGGACAGCCGCGACUUGGACGAGCUCAACCACAUCCUGCUGGAGAGCAAGAAGCUGGGCCGGGCCCUGGAGAGCCUUUCUCGCAGCAUGGGCACCUCCGGUGACAUCGAUCAGAACUUGGGAGGCUUCAAGUCGCUGCUGCGCCCCCGCGUGGUGGGCGAGUGGACGGGUCGACCCGAGGAGGACGCAGACCCGCUAGCGGCCGAGAUGCUGCGGCCUCCUGACCCGCGGCUCAAAAACCAUGUUGGCUGGAGCGGGGACACACUUCCCGUUGUCAGUCUCAAGAUGGAGGCCAAAGGCAGUAAAGGGCUGAAGGCGUUACAGCAGCAUCACAGGAAUCUGCUGGCCGCCAUGUUGGCGCAGGAAUCCUUGGACCCGCUCCACGGUCUCACGCCGUGCCUCGGAGAAGACGAGAUGGAUGACGACGACGACGACGCCGUGGAGCUUCUGGAGGACCUGGAUGACUUGCGCAUGGAAGGCGUGUGCGGCUUGGCUCCGUCCGGCUGUAAGUUCAGUCAAGGACGCAGCUCCUACUAUUCCGAACCUCAGGCCAAAGUAACGCUCAACAUCUGCUCUCGAUGUGCCAGGUUGCAGGGAGACAGUCUGACCACCAGCAGGUCCCAGGAAAAGCUGCCACCUCACCCAUCCGGACAAGCCGUGCCUGACAUCUCAUCCGCGUUGCCCAGGGUGGACGUUCUGGCUUCGGCGGCGGCGGGACGCUUGCAGGAACGCCAAGCGCCGUCUCAAGUGUCCAGCUCUCGUCAGCCUGUCUGGGAGUCUGAUCUCAAAGCUGGGAGGACCGGUGGCCUGCUGCUGGGGGACCCCCUCUUCUCCAAGGAGCUGGAGAACAUGGGCAAGCAACUCGCUGAGGUGGAGAAGGAUUUGGCCAAGCUGGCAGAAGUGGGGAAGAUGACGCUUCGAAACAAUCCCCACGGCAGUCUCCUCGGCAGUCCGCUGGGCCACCGGAGCCUCCCCGACACACUGCCGCUCACCAGCCUCCUCUGCAGGCCUCGCUCGCCGGCGGGCAAGACGUGCGGCGCCGCCGCCACCGGGCUCCCCCUCGUCAGCCCCGGCUCGGCGUCCCUGCGUCCAGGCGGUCGUGCCUACAGCAACCCCGGCAGCAGGACGCACACGCCCGGGACCACGCCCGACAACCUGCGCUCGGGCUUCAACCCUCACAAGGAGGUGACGUUCAGGAGGUGCAGGAGUCGGCCGGUCACGCCCACCGGGCGGCCCGCGCGCACCCGACCCUUGCUCACGCCGCCCGGGCUCAGCACCACCGACAGUCUGGGGGCCAGCCUGAGGGCCUACCUGGCUGAGGAUGAAUUCUACCAGCAGUUGCAGGCCAUGCGGCAGCCUUGGCACAUCCCCAGCGACACGGACAGCGACAUCAUGGAGCCGCCCGAGCAGGACAAAAGUGAGGGAACUUUCCUCCGCACGUUCUCAUUACAUCACGUCGCCGCAAACAAAAAACAUGGAUCUGAAUUUUGCGUUGACGUUACACAAGAGGAAUUCCAGUUUGGCAACAAUAAAACAAAAAAACACCCAAAAAGGUCAACCGCCGUUGUCGUGGAAACAUAACUCUGGCGGUUGCUUAUCUUACAUAAUGACAACAAUGCUGGCACUGGAGAGCCAUGUUGAACUGUUGAAUCACGGUCCCCCAAAAGAAUUGUGGUUAAAAUAUGCAAAUUCGAUUUCCGGCCCCGAAUAAACAGAAAGCAUGUUGAGUUCACCGAAGGGUCGUUGUGCUUUUGGAUGUAUCCAUAUGCUCGGUCUCCUUUUUUGUCGUCCCAGGUGCCAGCAAGCGGUCCGUCUUUUCAGGCCUAUGAAGACGACGACGACAAAGAUCCCGUCCGCCAAUUAUGCAAGGCGCGGGACAUUUUGAACAAAUUCUGUUAUUUUUAUAGGUCCUAUGAAUGAUAUUGUAUACCUUUGUUCUUUUCCACCAAUAUUUCCUAUCGACUGUUAUCUGCUAUCUGAUUCUCUCUUUUUGUUUGGCAUGCUAUGGGACUCCCUGCAUGGGUGCACUUUGUGCUUUGACAACCUCUUUCCAAGGCAGUGCACAAGUGAGACAAUUCCUUGCAUGUCUGAGCAAGCUUAUGCCACUCGCCGUCAACAAUUUGCAAGUGUCGGCAAAUCCAAUUGAAUAUUCUCACCGUAUUCACGAGACAGAGUGGCAAGUACUUUUGAUACUUUGAAUAAAGACGAAGAAUUGUGAAAAAAGAUUUUCAUUUUAGCUGUGCUGCAGUGUAGCGCCAACUAUUGGUGAGGAGAACUACUACUUGAGUUAGCAUUAGCUUGUUUGCCGGCCUGCCUGCCUGCCUGCCUGCCUCCAAAUGAUCGCUUAAUGAUAUGCUCCCUGAAAGAGGUUCUCAAACAUCUCGUGGAGGACACUAAAGAAUGCUAAUAAAAUGAUUUGGUGCUCAUCA